AUAUUGCACAAUGGGGGAAACCCUGAUGCAGCAACGCCGCGUGAAGGAAGAAGUAUUUCGGUAUGUAAACUUCUAUCAGCAGGGAAGAAUAAAAUGACGGUACCUGACUAAGAAGAACCGGCUAAAUACGUGCCAGCAGCCGCGGUAAUACGUAUGGUUCAAGCGUUAUCCGGAUUUACUGGGUGUAAAGGGAGCGUAGACGGAGCAGCAAGUCUGGAGUGAAAACCCGGGGCUCAACCCCGGGACUGCUUUGGAAACUGUUGUUCUAGAGUGCUGGAGAGGUAAGUGGAAUUCCUAGUGUAGCGGUGAAAUGCGUAGAUAUUAGGAGGAACACCAGUGGCGAAGGCGGCUUACUGGACAGUAACUGACGUUGAGGCUCGAAAGCGUGGGGAGCAAAC
rnacentral:rRNA from 1 species